rnacentral:rRNA from 1 species
GUUAGGAAUCUUCCCCAAUGGACGAAAGUCUGAGGGAGCGACGCCGCGUGAGGGAUGAAGGUUUUCGGAUCGUAAACCUCUGAAUCAGGGACGAAAGGCCGGGACAACCGGAGAUGACGGUACCUGAGUAAUAGCACCGGCUAACUCCGUGCCAGCAGCCGCGGUAAUACGGAGGGUGCAAGCGUUACCCGGAAUCACUGGGCGUAAAGGGCGUGUAGGCGGCCUGCCAAGUCUGGUUUUAAAGCCUGCGGCUCAACCGCAGAUCUGGACUGGAGACUGGUAGGCUAGACCUCUGGAGAGAGAACUGGAAUUCCUGGUGUAGCGGUGGAAUGCGUAGAUACCAGGAGGAACACCGAUGGCGAAGGCAGGUUCUUGGACAGAAGGUGACGCUGAGGCGCGAAAGUGUGGGGAGCGAACCGGAUUAGAAACCCUAGUAGUCC